rnacentral:rRNA from 1 species
AUACGGAGGGUGCAAGCGUUGUUCGGAAUUACUGGGCGUAAAGGGCGCGCAGGCGGUUUGGUAAGUCAGAUGUGAAAGCCCACGGCUCAACCGUGGAAGUGCAUUUGAAACUGCCAGACUUGAGUACCAGAGGGGAAAGUGGAAUUCCCGGUGUAGAGGUGAAAUUCGUAGAUAUCGGGAGGAAUACCGGUGGCGAAGGCGACUUUCUGGCUGGAUACUGACGCUGAGGCGCGAAAGCGUGGGGAGCAAACAGGAUUAGAAACCCUUGUAGUCC